AAAAUCAUGUUGGCCAACGAUUUAUAAACGAGGCAAGAUGAGGACAGUGGAGAGACCAUGAAGAUACAGACCAGUAUUCUUUUGGUAGUUAGUGAAACACUUUCCCAUGAAGAGUUACUGCCUCCUGGUGGUCAAUCUGGUGUACUUCAUGUGAAGAAUCCAUUCAGACUCCAGCAAUUUACAGUUUUACAGUUUCUCAAUCGCAUACAAGCAAUAUUUUUUGUAACAACGUUGUCAGUUUUCGAAACGGUGUUCACAAGACACAAAACUAUCUGACAGUUUGCAAAACAGUCCUUUAUUUUUUAUUUAUUUUUAUGUAGCUGCCUUUCCAAAACAAAUACAUCAAUCCAAACCAAAUGAUACUGUCAGACUUGCAAGUGCAUUCUUUAAAACAUGACCGUCUGCAAAAAGAUUAACACAAACAUACAUUUGUUGAGUCUAAGCUGACAAAACAGAAAGUUAGUCUGUCUUUUAAGUAGAUUUGAGAUCAAUAGAUUGUCUUUGCAGUAACUAAAUCAUGAUGAUCAAAUUUGGAAAUACAACUAUCGAAAGGUGCAGGAAUUAUAGGUAAUUACUGUCCUUUUUUUAAAUGCAUAUUUCACCAAACAAUUUCAUACACAUCAAAAUAAAUAUUAUUCCUGAUCAAAAAAGGAAAAAUAGAAAAUAUCCACAUUGUGUGCCGGAUUUAUUCAUCGCCAUCAUUAUAAUCCAGAUGCCGGUGUGCUCAUAGGUUCGUCAACUUUCCAACGACGCAGAAACACAAUCCACAAUCGAAAUAAAGAAACGGUGAAUACAACUGAUACGAACCAAGUCUCAAAUCACACCGAAAACAAACCUGUAAUGUUGGAGAUGAUGUCUUUUAGGAGUAACCCAAAGUUACUUACAAAAUAACUCAACUUUCUUCUCUGCAAUGUUGUCAAGAAUCAUAGCAGUUAGACAGUUCCCAUGUUUACAUCUUUCUUUAUAUUCUACUACUGAAAACGCCAUUUAACAUUUUGUACAGUUGCCGGAAACAGUGAACACAUUUGUAACAUGUUCUCUUCUUAUGAAAACAACGUGUUGAUAUUCUGUCAGCAAAACACUUUUACACUCGACUUUGUAUUCAUUGAUGACAAUUCUAUUUUUAGCAAAAAUGGGUCUAAGAUAUUCAAUCCAGGUAACAAAGACAAUAACAUUAUCUGACUUUCUGAAAAUCUAUUUAAUCAUUUGACCAUGGUUGGUUUGCUAUCGGUCCGUUUAGCCAUAGUUAAUUUGACAAUGGUUGGUUUGCUAUAGGCACGUUUAACCAGUUCAUUUGACCAUGGUUGGCUUGCUAUCGGUCCGUUUAGCCAUAGUUAAUUUGACAAUGGUUGGUUUGCUAUAGGCACGUUUAACCAGUUCAUUUGACCAUGGUUGGUUUGCUAUAGGUAUGUUUAACCAGUUAAUUUGACCAUGGUUGGUUUGCUAUAGGCACGUUUAACCAGUUCAUUUCACCAUGGUUGGUUUGCUAUAGGUACGUUUAACCAGUUAAUUUGACCAUGGUUAGUUUGCUAUAGGUACAUUUAACCACAAUUCAUUUGACCAUGGUUGGUUUGCUAUAGGACGUUUAACCAUAGUCCAUUUGACCAUGGUUGGUUUACUGUAGGUCCGUUUAACCAUAGUUAAUUUGACCAUGGUUGGUUUGCUGUAGGUACGUUUAACCACAAUUCAUUUGACCAUGGUUGGUUUGCCAUAGGUAUGUUUAGCCAGUUAAUUUGACCAUGGUUGGUUUGCUAUAGGUAUGUUUAACCAGUUAAUUUGACCAUGGUUGGUUUGCUAUAGGUACGUUUAACCAGUUCAUUUGACCAUGGUUGGUUUGCUAUAGGUUCAUUUAAAACAAGUUAAUUUGACCAUGGUUGGUUUGCUAUAGGUACAUUUAACCAGUUCAUUUGACCAUGGUUGGUUUGCUAUAGGUAUGUUUAACCAGUUAAUUUGACCAUGGUUGGUUUGCUAUAGGUACAUUUAACCAGUUCAUUUGACCAUGGUUAGUGUACUACAGGUUUAGCCAGUUAAUUUGACCAUGGUUGGCUUGCUAUCGGUCCGUUUAGCGAUAGUUAAUUUGACAAUGGUUGGUUUGCUAUAGGCACGUUUAACCAGUACAUUUGACCAUGGUUGGUUUGCUAUAGGUACAUUUAACCAGUUCAUUUGACCAUGGUUGGUUUGCUAUAGGUACAUUUAACCAGUUAAUUUGACCACGUUUGGUUUGCUAUAGGUUUAACCAGUUAAUUUGACCAUGGUUGGUUUGCUAUAGGUUUAACCAGUUAAUUUGACCAUGGUUGGUUUGCUAUAGGUUUAACCAGUUAAUUUGACCAUGGUUGGUUUGCUAUAGGUUUAACCAGUUAAUUUGACCAUGGUUGGUUUGCUAUAGGUUUAACCAGUUAAUUUGACCAUGGUUGGUUUGCUAUAGGUUUAACCAGUUCAUUUGACCACGGUUGGUUUGCUAUAGGUUUAACCACAGUUCCAAAAGAUGCUUGUACCCGAUCCAGAAACUGUAAUGAACCAUCUGCAUUGUCAGACUGCUUCAUCCUCGUCUUUUCAUCAUUUAAUAAACAGGUCUGUCUAAAUAAAGACACAUUAACAGGAUAUAUAUAUAUA
rnacentral:lncRNA from 1 species